rnacentral:tRNA from 1 species
GCCAAGGUUGUAGCUCAGUGGUAGAGUGCUUGCCUAGUAAGCAUGAGGCUCUGGAUUUGAUCCUUGGCA